rnacentral:lncRNA from 1 species
UUUUUGUGAGAAACAUGCCUACAAGAUGUUCGAUGAAAUGCAUGACCCGAUUAAGGUAUUCAUUCAAGUUUAUUUUACCUGAUUCGUUACUUGAUUAUGUAUGUUUGAUCACCUGUUUUCAUUUAAUUUUUGUGCAGGGUCACCAUUAUCCUUCAAGGUAAGGCUAUCUUAAAAUCUUAGAUACACUUUAUAUGGCAAACACCAUAAUCCAUAUGAUUUCCCUUUUAUUUAUAUAUACUUUCUUUAUUGCCAUUUCUUACAUUUUUAAAACCCUUUUUUGUGAUCUAUAUAUUCAGUUUCACAUAAGUAGUAAUAUCAGAUGUGGAGGAGAAAUCAGUCAUUAUAGGUGAAAGAAACAAGGCAGCAACAGAAGCACUCCAAACAACAAUCAACAAAGGUAUUACAAAAUAGCAACAGUAGAGGCAUUAUCAAGACUUGAUAAAUCAGAUUUGGAGCGCAUUAAAUUGCAAGAGAGAAAUAUGGCUUUAGCCAAAGAACUUGCUUCA